AGAGUUUGAUCCUGGCUCAGGACGAACGCUGGCGGCGUGCUUAACACAUGCAAGUCGAACGAUGAUGCCCAGCUUGCUGGGUGGAUUAGUGGCGAACGGGUGAGUAAUACGUGAGUAACCUGCCCUUGACUCUGGGAUAAGCCUGGGAAGCUGGGUCUAAUACUGGAUACUACGCUCCAUCGCAUGGUGGGGGGUGGAAAGGGUUUUACUGGUUUUGGAUGGGCUCACGGCCUAUCAGCUUGUUGGUGGGGUAAUGGCUCACCAAGGCGACGACGGGUAGCCGGCCUGAGAGGGUGACCGGCCACACUGGGACUGAGACACGGCCCAGACUCCUACGGGAGGCAGCAGUGGGGAAUAUUGCACAAUGGGCGAAAGCCUGAUGCAGCGACGCCGCGUGAGGGAUGACGGCCUUCGGGUUGUAAACCUCUUUCAGUAGGGAAGAAGCGCAAGUGACGGUACCUGCAGAAGAAGCGCCGGCUAACUACGUGCCAGCAGCCGCGGUAAUACGUAGGGCGCAAGCGUUGUCCGGAAUUAUUGGGCGUAAAGAGCUCGUAGGCGGUUUGUCGCGUCUGCUGUGAAAGCCCGGGGCUCAACCCCGGGUCUGCAGUGGGUACGGGCAGACUAGAGUGCAGUAGGGGAGACUGGAAUUCCUGGUGUAGCGGUGAAAUGCGCAGAUAUCAGGAGGAACACCGAUGGCGAAGGCAGGUCUCUGGGCUGUUACUGACGCUGAGGAGCGAAAGCAUGGGGAGCGAACAGGAUUAGAUACCCUGGUAGUCCAUGCCGUAAACGUUGGGCACUAGGUGUGGGGGACAUUCCACGUUUUCCGCGCCGUAGCUAACGCAUUAAGUGCCCCGCCUGSGGAGUACGGCCGCAAGGCUAAAACUCAAAGGAAUUGACGGGGGCCCGCACAAGCGGCGGAGCAUGCGGAUUAAUUCGAUGCAACGCGAAGAACCUUACCAAGGCUUGACAUUCACCGGACCGCCCCAGAGAUGGGGUUUCCCUUCGGGGCCGGUGGACAGGUGGUGCAUGGUUGUCGUCAGCUCGUGUCGUGAGAUGUUGGGUUAAGUCCCGCAACGAGCGCAACCCUCGUUCUAUGUUGCCAGCACGUGAUGGUGGGGACUCAUAGGAGACUGCCGGGGUCAACUCGGAGGAAGGUGGGGAUGACGUCAAAUCAUCAUGCCCCUUAUGUCUUGGGCUUCACGCAUGCUACAAUGGCCGGUACAAAGGGUUGCGAUACUGUGAGGUGGAGCUAAUCCCAAAAAGCCGGUCUCAGUUCGGAUUGAGGUCUGCAACUCGACCUCAUGAAGUCGGAGUCGCUAGUAAUCGCAGAUCAGCAACGCUGCGGUGAAUACGUUCCCGGGCCUUGUACACACCGCCCGUCAAGUCACGAAAGUUGGUAACACCCGAAGCCGGUGGCCUAACCCCUUUGUGGGAGGGAGCCGUCGAAGGUGGGACUGGCGAUUGGGACUAAGUCGUAACAAGGUAACCGUA
rnacentral:rRNA from 1 species